rnacentral:rRNA from 1 species
GAUGAACGCUGGCGGCGUGCUUAACACAUGCAAGUCGAGCGAGUGAGUUCUUCGGAACGAUCUAGCGGCGGACGGGUGAGUAGCACGUGGGCAACCUGCCUCAUAGAGGGGAAUAGCCCCCCGAAAGGGAGAUUAAUACCGCAUAAAAUUAUCGAGUGGCAUCACAUGAUAAUCCAAGGAGUAAUCCGCUAUGAGAUGGGCCCGCGGCGCAUUAGCUAGUUGGUGAGGUAACGGCUCACCAAGGCGACGAUGCGUAGCCGACCUGAGAGGGUGAUCGGCCACAUUGGGACUGAGACACGGCCCAGACUCCUACGGGAGGCAGCAGUGGGGAAUAUCGCACAAUGGGGGAAACCCUGAUGCAGCAACGCCGCGUGAGUGAUGAAGGUCUUCGGAUUGUAAAGCUCUGUCUUUGGGGACGAUAAUGACGGUACCCAAGGAGGAAGCCACGGCUAACUACGUGCCAGCCGCCGCAGUAA